UCUGGUUGAUCCUGCCAGUAGCUAUAUGCUUGUCUCAAAGAUUUAGCCAUGCAAGUGUCAGUAUAAGCUGUACAACGGCGAGACUGCGAAUUGCUCAUUAACUCAGUUAUGAUUCACUCGACUAUGGACUAGGAACUACACGGAUAACCGUAGAAAAUCUGGGGCUAAUACGUGCUUAAUAACCGUUCUCCUUGUGGGAGCGGGAGUACUUAUCUGAGAGACCGUAGUGACCGAAAGGUUGCCGGAAACCGAAACCCGAUGCCGUCCCUGUGGCGGCUUGUGUUGACCCAGGAUAAUUUAACGGACCGGCGAUUCAAGGGGCGCGUGAGUGCGCGCCCUCGCCCGGCGAGUCGAUCAAAUUUCUGUUCUAUCAAUUCAUGAAGGUAGGGUAGUGGCCUACCUUGAUAAUGACGGAUACGGGGGAUCAGGGUUCGACACCGGAGAGGAGGCCUGAGAGACGGCCGCCACAUCCAAGGAAGGCAGCAGGCGCGGAAAUUACCCUAAUCACAAAUCGUGGAGGUAGUGACAAGAAAUACCGACACGGGUUCCUUCGGGGACUUGUUACGUUGGAAUGAGGACAGUACAAAACCCUUACCGAGUAGCUAUUAGAGGGCAAGUUGGGUGCCAGCAGCCGCGGUAACACCCACUCUAAAAGUGUAUGUUAAAGUUGUUGCAGUUAAAACGCUCGUAGUUGGAUUCAGGGCCGGCCGUAGCCGUCGGAAGCCACCGGACUGGAGUAGCGGGGGGGUGCUUGCAUCCCUGCCGCCUCCGGAAAGGGGCCCCGGCAAAAGGCGGGUGCCAGCCCGGUUGUUACUUUGAACAAAACUUGGUGUUCAAGGCAUGUAGAUUCAAACCGCAUGAAAGUCUUAGCAUGGGAUAACAGAAUGACACGAUGUGUGAUUUUGUUGGGUUUUUGAUAUCGUGUAAUGGUUAAAUAGGGACAGUCUCGGGGGCGUAAGUAUUGGGCAGGUAGAGGUGGAAUUCGAUGAUCUGCCCAGGACUAACAGAAGCGAAGGCGUUUCGUCAAGGAUGUUUUCGUUGAUCAAGAACGAAAGUUAGGGGAUCGAAGACGAUUAGACACCGUCGUAGUCCUAACCGUAAACUAUCUCGACUAGGGAUCCGUGCAGGUAGCUGCCGUCAGGUACGCUGUACUGCGUGGGGACCUUCAGAGAGAUCGUUAAGUGUUUGGAGUCUGGGGGGAAGUAUUAUCGCAAGGUUGAAACUUAAACGGAAUUGACGGAAGAGCACCACAAGAGAUGGAGCUUGUUGCUUAAUUUGACCCAACGCGGGGAAGCUUACCAGGACUGGACUCUGGAAGGAUUGACAGGCUAAUGGGCCUUUCAAGAUUCUUAGAAUGGUGGUGCAUGGCCGUUCUUAGUUGGUGAAGCGAUUUGUCUGUGUUAAUUCCGUUAACGAGCGAGACCUCCGCCCCUAACUACCG
rnacentral:rRNA from 1 species